AUUCUGGCUCAGGAUGAACGCUAGCUACAGGCUUAACACAUGCAAGUCGAGGGGAAACGACAUCGAAAGCUUGCUUUUGAUGGGCGUCGACCGGCGCACGGGUGAGUAACGCGUAUCCAACCUGCCCACCACUUGGGGAUAACCUUGCGAAAGUAAGACUAAUACCCAAUGACGUCUCUAGAAGACAUCUGAAAGAGAUUAAAGAUUUAUCGGUGAUGGAUGGGGAUGCGUCUGAUUAGCUUGUUGGCGGGGUAACGGCCCACCAAGGCGACGAUCAGUAGGGGUUCUGAGAGGAAGGUCCCCCACAUUGGAACUGAGACACGGUCCAAACUCCUACGGGAGGCAGCAGUGAGGAAUAUUGGUCAAUGGACGAGAGUCUGAACCAGCCAAGUAGCGUGCAGGAUGACGGCCCUAUGGGUUGUAAACUGCUUUUAUAAGGGAAUAAAGUGAGCCUCGUGAGGCUUUUUGCAUGUACCUUAUGAAUAAGGACCGGCUAAUUCCGUGCCAGCAGCCGCGGUAAUACGGAAGGUCCGGGCGUUAUCCGGAUUUAUUGGGUUUAAAGGGAGCGUAGGCCGGAGAUUAAGCGUGUUGUGAAAUGUAGACGCUCAACGUCUGCACUGCAGCGCGAACUGGUUUCCUUGAGUACGCACAAAGUGGGCGGAAUUCGUGGUGUAGCGGUGAAAUGCUUAGAUAUCACGAAGAACUCCGAUUGCGAAGGCAGCUCACUGGAGCGCAACUGACGCUGAAGCUCGAAAGUGCGGGUAUCGAACAGGAUUAGAUACCCUGGUAGUCCGCACGGUAAACGAUGGAUGCCCGCUGUUGGUCUGAAUAGGUCAGCGGCCAAGCGAAAGCAUUAAGCAUCCCACCUGGGGAGUACGCCGGCAACGGUGCAACUCAAAGGAAUUGACGG
rnacentral:rRNA from 1 species